CACCGCCAAGAACUGGUUCAUUAAAAUGAAAACUAUAUCCGCCCCAUUGCACUAUCGGUUCGAUUUUUUUCGCCCCAUUCGGUUCGGUUAACCGCGAUUUUCGAUUUUGACGGUUCAAAUUGCCAUCCCUAACUCCCCCAUCUCUCUCACACACUGACUGUCCCUCUCUCUUGCGACUGUCCCUCUCUCGUCGACUGUCUCUCAUCAAAAGAAAAAAUUUCAGUUACCUUCUUCCUCUCAUCAAAUCUUCGGCACCGGUUAAUGGGUUGACACAUUGAAGCUUGAGCUCACCGGUUCUGGUAAGUCAAAUUUUAUCUAAUUUUUGUAUUAAUAAGUUGUGAUUUUAUCAAAACAAUCUGUUCAUUACUUGGCCGAAAUAUAUGUAAUCAUGGUGUGUGACUUGAGGGUACUAGAAUCAUCUGUAGAAUGUGAAAUUGAAGAGAAACAUAUGUAAUAAGGGUUGAGUGUACAACUUCUUUUUGUUGAUUUGGAGUUUCUUUUCAUUGUCGGGUCAAAAGGGAAUUUAAAAAAAAAAAUGUAAAAACACAUGUUUAUUAGGGUGCUUAUUACAUUUCACACACAACGUAGACAAAUUAAUUGUGGAAUAAUUUUGCAUUGUUAUUACGGGUGCCUGUUACAUUUUCAUACACAAAAUGGACAAAUUAAUUGUGAAAUAAUUUUUAUUAUUUUCUAUUGUCGGAUUGAAUAUGGAAUUAUUCAAUCAUUAACUAGAAGAUUUUGAGAUCAAAUUUGUCUCUCUCUAAUUUCUUCUCUUGUACCUUGUAAAAUUAAAGAAAACUUGUGAUUAAUUAAAACUAAUAUUUAUAAAUUGUUAUAGAUUGAAUUGUGUAUAUUUAUUACGAUUAUUAAUAUGCUAAAAAUCUUAUUUCAUAUAUCAAGCACUAAUAGAUACAUGAUCAAUCUUUUUGGAGCAACGAGCCCCGAGCCUCAGGUUGAGUGUACCGGAAUCAUCUGCAGAAUUAACUCUAAACAAGUAAUAACCAAAAAAGUGAUGGGAAAAAACUAAAAAUCCAAGACAAGUACGAAGGGUAGACUUUUAAGGGUAGAUAAUUAAAUCCACAUUCGUAUUUAUGUAUGCUGAAAGAAAGUGGGGAGUGGAAGGAAUCUUCUUUUGUGAGAGAAGAGAAGCAGUGAGUGGGGAAAAAUUCUUCCAUUGUCACUGACAAGCUGGAGCUACAAAUUAAUUAAUCAAGUUUAUGAUGGGAUGCUGAAAUUCAAAUUUUGGAUGUUAGGAGAAAAUGUAGUGGAUCUAACUACGUAGAAUAACUUUUUAAUUUUGUUAUUAUUUUAUAGAGUCAAAAUAAGAAUGUAGAUGACAUGAGUUCACGUGCUUUUACUCCUUAAGUUAUGUAUCUUAUAUUAUUUAUUGUUUGUUCAAUAUAAAUUCAGACUAUAUGGUAUACUAAUUUUAAAGGGAAUAUGUUCAUUUUACUGUGAAUUUGUAGUCCUAACAAGGAAGUGGUAUCCAGGGAGGGACUAAGCAUUUGAAAAAUUCAAGUCGUUAACUAUUGCAUUGGUACCGGUAUGAUGAGAAAGAAAUCGUAGCAGAAGAGAAGAUUGCAUCAACUGACCCAAACGCAAAUGUACACCACAUGUCACUUGGACGAGAUUAUUGAAGAUUUGGGUUGAGGAAGUGUAUAUGGGUCAUUUGACCUUAUAUAGACCUACUGAUGAAUUUCGAGUUUUUGGUGAAGCCAUGGGAAGUACUGUUGCUUGGCCAAAGAAUAGUGUUAAACUCAUUUGACGAAUGCAUUUCAUGAAUUUUUGCUUAUUCAACUGAGCAAAGACUUUUAUGUUAUGUGAUAAGCUUAUUCUGAACAUGAUUGACACAUAGUUAAUGUUGUGUGUAUUUGAGUUUCCUAUAUUAUUAAUUAAUGUAUCUAACCACCUUAUCAAAAAAAAUUAAUGUACCUAAUCUCUAUAUUCUUUCUUUAUUGCAAUUAUAUGGAGUCAAGCUGAGUUAAAAGAAGAAUUUGAAAUUGAGUUCUUUUGUGCAUGUGCCUUCUUGGACCUCAUUUAUGUAAGCAGCUUGUUUUCGGAUGUCUUAUGUGAAGUUUUGGUUAAAUGGGUGGAGCUGAUUGUGAGAGUAAUCUUUGCCUUCUAGUGUUUGGCAUUAGCUUUUCUAAUGUAAAUCUUCUAGUUGGCUCAUUGUGUAUAUUCUUGACAUAUUUGCUCAUUUUUUAGCUCUCGUUUUAUUGUGUUUUGAA
rnacentral:lncRNA from 1 species